AUGGCUCCGAUUUGUGGGAGCCAAGAGUUCUUGGAUGAUCUGACAAUCAAAGUCUCUCGCUCAGUUGUACUUGUUAUGUCAUUCGAAACCCGUGGGACUCACCGUCAAUUUAUGGAUAUGCCACCGAUGGAAGGAGAAGAGCGAGAUCGUUAUAUUCAACAAAACAUGCGAACUACCCAUUAUAAAUCAUGCACUGGUUUUAUCAUUGGAGCUAGUAAAAGAGUUAUCUUUAUAGCUGUCCAUCAUUCGCAAAUCAACACAGCUGCUUUUGAUACUUUCAGUGUUCGUUUCCAUGAUAAUAAUGAGAAGGCUGCUAAAAUCUUUAUCAAAAAAACAAAGUCAGUCACGAUAUUGUCAGUAGAACAGCCUGAUCACCCUUAUCAUCCAGUGCUCCGCAGUAGAAAGAGGAUUGGCAGGGACGAUGUCCUCAUUCUAUCAAAUGUGCACUUGGGUUGCUUGAAUUCGUACCAAAGUUCUGUUAUUAACCCAACAACUGAAGCUAUUGCCAAUCCUGCUGAUUCCGACAGCAUCGUGCCGAGAAGUGGGAAGUGGUUUACUUUUGGUUGUACAACCAAAAUUGAAGAGCUACUGGGAGCACCCGUAUUUGACUUCAGUGGUCUGUUUGUUGGUUCAGUAGACACCAAUCAUCCAAGAAUAUGGAGUGAUGAAGUUAAUUGUUUUUCUGAUCUGAUUUAUGCACGUCAUGCCCGGUAUUUUUUCAGGAAGACAAGGAGGAAAAUAGAGAAGAAAUUGAUGAAAGAGCGAAAAAAGAAGAAGAUGGGAGGUUAG
rnacentral:rRNA from 1 species